CGGACACGCUGGGGGUGGCGCUCGCUCGCGCAGCGAGCCGCCUGAGACAGUCCCCUAGAACCUGAUCCGGUUCGUACCGGCGGAGGAAAGCGUAUGCCUGACACA
rnacentral:ncRNA from 1 species